GCUCCGGUGGCCAAGUGGUUAGCGCGUCCGCCUCUGAUGCGAGAGGUAGUGGGUUCGAUCCCCGGUCGAAUCA